rnacentral:rRNA from 1 species
UACGUAGGGGGCAAGCGUUGGUCCGGAUUUAUUGGGCGUAAAGAGCGUGUAGGCGGCCAGAUAGGUCCGUUGUGAAAACUGGAGGCUUAACCUCCAGCGGUCGAUGGAAACCAUUUGGCUAGAGUCCGGAAGAGGAGAGUGGAAUUCCUGGUGUAGCGGUGAAAUGCGCAGAUAUCAGGAAGAACACCCGUGGCGAAGGCGGCUCUCUGGGACGGUACUGACGGCUGAGACGCGAAAGCGUGGGGAGCGAACAGG